rnacentral:rRNA from 1 species
AGCUCCAGUAGCGUAUAUUAAAGUUGUUGCAGUUAAAAAGCUCGUAGUUGGAUUUCUGACUCGAUGUCACUGACCCGCCUUUUACUAGUGUGAGUGUCGGUUGACAUCUGUCAUCCUUCCAGAAAACCUUUCUACCAUUCAUUUGGCCGGAUUGGCGAUCUGGAACUUUUACUUUGAAAAAAUUAGAGUGUUCAAAGCAGGCUUGCGCUAUGAAUACAUUAGCAUGGAAUAAUAACUUAGGGCUUUGGUUCUAUUUUGUUGGUUUCUAGGAUUGAAGCAAUGAUUGAUAGGGAUAGUUGGGGGUGCUAGUAUUAAGCGGCCAGAGGUGAAAUUCUUGGAUUCGCUUAAGACUAACCUAGGCGAAAGCAUUCACCAAGGAUGUCUUCU